CAGUCGAACGGAGAUGUAAGGAGCUUGCUUUUUACAUCUUAGUGGCGGACGGCUGUGUAACGCGUGGAUAACCUGGCCCAUACAGGGGGAUAGCAGCUGGAAACGGCUGGUAAUACCGCAUAAGCGCACGAGAUCGCAUGAUCUUGAGUGAAAAACUCCGGUGGUAUGGGAUGGGUCCGCGUCUGAUUAGGCAGUUGGCGGGGUAAAGGCCCACCAAACCGACGAUCAGUAGCCGGCCUGAGAGGGUGUGCGGCCACAUUGGGACUGAGACACGGCCCAAACUCCUACGGGAGGCAGCAGUGGGGAAUAUUGCACAAUGGGGGAAACCCUGAUGCAGCGACGCCGCGUGAGUGAAGAAGUAUUUCGGUAUGUAAAGCUCUAUCAGCAGGGAAGAACAUGACGGUACCUGACUAAGAAGCCCCGGCUAACUACGUGCCAGCAGCCGCGGUAAUACGUAGGGGGCAAGCGUUAUCCGGAUUUACUGGGUGUAAAGGGAGCGUAGACGGCAGUGCAAGCCUGGAGUGAAAGGAUGGGGCCCAACCCCAUGACUGCUCUGGGAACUGUACAGCUAGAGUGCCGGAGGGGUAAGCGGAAUUCCUAGUGUAGCGGUGAAAUGCGUAGAUAUUAGGAGGAACACUAGUGGCGAAGGCGGCUUACUGGACGGUAACUGACGUUGAGGCUCGAAAGCGUGGGGAGCAAACAGGAUUAGAUACCCUGGUAGUCCACGCUGUAAACGAUGAAUACUAGG
rnacentral:rRNA from 1 species